GACGAACGCUGGCGGCGUGCUUAACACAUGCAAGUCGAACGGAAAGGCCCUGCUUUUGUGGGGUGCUCGAGUGGCGAACGGGUGAGUAACACGUGAGUAACCUGCCCUUGACUUUGGGAUAACUUCAGGAAACUGGGGCUAAUACCGGAUAGGAGCUCCUGCUGCAUGGUGGGGGUUGGAAAGUUUCGGCGGUUGGGGAUGGACUCGCGGCUUAUCAGCUUGUUGGUGGGGUAGUGGCUUACCAAGGCUUUGACGGGUAGACGGCCUUUGAGGGUGACCGGCCACAUUGGGACUGAGAUACGGCCCAGACUCCUACGGGAGGCAGCAGUGGGGAAUAUUGCACAAUGGGCGGAAGCCUGAUGCAGCAACGCCGCGUGCGGGAUGACGGCCUUCGGGUUGUAAACCGCUUUCGCCUGUGACGAAGCGUGAGUGACGGUAAUGGGUAAAGAAGCACCGGCUAACUACGUG
rnacentral:rRNA from 1 species